rnacentral:rRNA from 1 species
CCAUCGGUACAAAACGCGUGGGGUCGAGGCUCUGUGGGUUGUAACCCCUUUUCUCUGGGAAGAAUGUUGGACGUUUCCCUGACGGUACCAUAGGAUCCUCAUCGGCUAACUCCGUGCCAGCACCCGCGGUAAGACGGAUGAUGCAAGCGUUAUCCGGAAUGAUUGGGCGUAAAGCGUAUUCAGGUGCCAUUUCAAGUCUGCUGUCAAAGACCGGGGCUUAACUUCGGAAAGGCAGGGGAAACUGACCAGCUAGAGUAUGGUAGGGGCAGAGGGAAUUCCUGGUGUAGCGGUGAUUGCGUAAAGAUCCGGAAGAAUUUCGGUGGUGAAGGGCUUUGCUGGACCAUAACUGAACUCCGGGACGACGCUAGGGGAACGAUCCCCACCAUUCCCCACAAGA